rnacentral:rRNA from 1 species
GAUGAACGCUGGCGGCGUGCCUAACACAUGCAAGUCGAACGGAGCUGCUUUGAUGAAGUUUUCGGAUGGAUUUAAAACAGCUUAGUGGCGGACGGGUGAGUAACGCGUGGGUAACCUGCCUCACACUGGGGGAUAACAGUUAGAAAAAGCUGCUAAUACCGCAUAAGCGCCCAGUUCCGCAUGGAACAGCGUGAAAAACUCCGGUGGUGUGAGAUGGACCCGCGUCUGAUUAGCCAGUUGGCGGGGUAACGGCCCACCAAAGCGACGAUCAGUAGCCGGCCUGAGAGGGUGAACGGCCACAUUGGGACUGAGACACGGCCCAAACUCCUACGGGAGGCAGCAGUGGGGAAUAUUGCACAAUGGGGGAAACCCUGAUGCAGCGACGCCGCGUGAGUGAAGAAGUAUUUCGGUAUGUAAAGCUCUAUCAGCAGGGAAGAAAGUGACGGUACCUGAAUAAGAAGCCCCGGCUAACUACGUGCCAGCAGCCGCAGUAA